rnacentral:rRNA from 1 species
AUGAGCGUCGGCUUCCUUCCUUUCCUUCCCCGUUCCAAUUCCUCUGCCACUUGUCCCGUCUGUCUAACCGCAUGGCGAUUUUGGGCUUACUGCUGCAGUGACGCGGUGGCGACUGGGAGGACGGCCUACGCCACCUUCAAGGACGUCAAGGCCCUGGAGAUAACGCUGCUGCUCUCGGUAUGUAUGGCCUCGCGCAAUCAUCCAACUUACUUUCAUUUGUGCAGUGGAGGUGUUUAUGCAAUCUGGUUGUGCUUGUGUUUUCAAUUGCUAUCUAUAAUGAAUGAUUUUCUGUGCUGUCAAUGUCAUUGUUGA